GCUCUCCUCAAAGCUUGAAAAGAUGUAAAGAUGUAAGGAUAUAUUACUGUGAUAGUUAUCUGUGUCAACUCGAGUGAGAGAUGCCCAAUGAAAUUGAAUCAGCAUAGUUCUGAGUGUAACUCAGGCAAUUUACUGAAGACAGAAGACCCACUCUAGUGCAGAUUGUCACCUGAAUGGCAUAAAAGGGAAAUGAAAAAAGGAUCCCUUCUGUUUCUUUGGAGGAGCACCAGUCUUUGCUUUCACUUUGGAUGUCAUCUCAUCAUCUCCUGGCUUCCAGCACAGAUGCUUCAGCCUCCUGAUAUGGACUUGCAUGGGACGCUACACUGAGCUCCAAGCCUUUGACUGGAUCCUUUGGAUCUCCAUUGUGCAAAUAGACCUUUUGCACUUUUUCUCACAUGACUCUGUGGACGACCAUUGUAAUGAAAACAUCCCCAUGACCAGACAUCCUCAGGAAUAAUUCCUCUUGACUGCAGUAAGUACCUACUUUUGAAGAACAGAAAGCUGAUGAAUGGCAGGCUUCCCUGCUGCUAAAUUCAUCUAACAAGGCACUCCUGAUGUGUUCUGAUUUUAAGGCCAAAGAAAACUGUAUAGAUCGGUUUGAUGUUCUUUUCCUUGAUAAAGAAAAGACUUUUGAGUUGUGCAUGUUUAUGUUGGUAAAUAAAUUCUGGUGUGAAAUGGAAUCCAAGAAUCAAGCCUAAGGCAUCAAAAACAGUACUAACAUGAUUUUGUAGGCAUACUGCCUUUGGUGCUUCUAGGACAAGUUCUGCAAAGCUAAAGUAUGGGUGAAAAAUCUGUAGUAAUUUUCACCUUUGGAC
rnacentral:lncRNA from 1 species